rnacentral:tRNA from 1 species
GCCUUUGUGGUGUAAUGUUUAGCACUUUCGGCGCGUAUUUAAGAGGUUCGAGGUUCGAAUCCCGGCGAGGGCA